GCACAAGCAGUGGAGUAUGUGGUUUAAUUCGAAGCAACGCGAAGAACCUUACCAGGUCUUGACAUCCGAUGCAUAGUGCAGAGAUGCAUGAAGUCCUUCGGGACAUCGAGACAGGUGGUGCAUGGUUGUCGUCAGCUCGUGUCGUGAGAUGUUGGGUUAAGUCCCGCAACGAGCGCAACCCUUUAUUGCCAGUUACUACG
rnacentral:rRNA from 1 species